rnacentral:rRNA from 1 species
UCCUACGGGGGGCUGCAGUGGGGAAUAUUGGACAAUGGGCGAAAGCCUGAUCCAGCCAUGCCGCGUGAGUGAUGAAGGCCCUAGGGUUGUAAAGCUCUUUCAGCGGGGAAGAUAAUGACGGUACCCGCAGAAGAAGCCCCGGCUAACUUCGUGCCAGCAGCCGCGGUAAUACGAAGGGGGCUAGCGUUGUUCGGAAUCACUGGGCGUAAAGCGCGUGUAGGCGGAUUGUUAAGUCAGGGGUGAAAUCCUGAGGCUCAACCUCAGAACUGCCUUUGAUACUGGCGAUCUUGAGUCCGGGAGAGGUGAGUGGAACUCCUAGUGUAGAGGUGAAAUUCGUAGAUAUUAGGAAGAACACCAGUGGCGAAGGCGGCUCACUGGCCCGGUACUGACGCUGAUAUGCGAAAGCGUGGGGAGCAAACAGGAUUAGAUACCCCUGUAGUCG